rnacentral:rRNA from 1 species
UACGUAGGGGGCUAGCGUUAUCCGGAAUUACUGGGCGUAAAGGGUGCGCAGGCGGCUUUGCAAGACAGAUGUGAAAUCCCCGGGCUCAACCUGGGAACUGCAUUUGUGACUGCAAGGCUAGAGUACGGCAGAGGGGGAUGGAAUUCCGCGUGUAGCAGUGAAAUGCGUAGAUAUGCGGAGGAACACCAAUGGCGAAGGCAAUCCCCUGGGCCUGUACUGACGCUCAUGCACGAAAGCGUGGGGAGCAAACAGG